GGGAACCCUAGCACUCUGAACCUCAGCAGCCUGCAGAGGCCUGAAGAGGUUAGAAUCUGAUGAGAUUACAAACCUAAAUAAUAUUGAACUGUAGUGUGCUCUUGAAAAUGAAUCUGAUGAGAAAAAUCCAGACUUCCAGGAAGAUGGCAAAAUGGUAAGCUGCAGAGAAAGACCCUCUUUGAGACUUGCAGUCAGACACUGGAAUAUUGAGGAAGAGAAGAAGGAUCUCAGAAGGAUUCUUGGUCCCAAGAAGGAUCUUCAGAGAAAACAUGCCCAGUGCGGAGCAAAGAGAGAAACUUUACCAUAGAGGAAGGAGGUAUUGAGUGGCACCUUCUCCCUGAGUUGGGACUCACUGUGUGAAAGGAACGGUUCAAACCUGAUUACACACAACGCUGCUGGCGACCCCAGAGGCCUCCACAGAAAGAUGCAGCAGUGGAAGGGAGCAGCGCACUGGCUGGUGUUGAAUGCUGCAGGAUCAGACCUACCGCACCAGAGGGCAAUUGGCUGGGAGCUGUUGUGUCUAGCAUAGGUCUCAAAAUUCUCGGGGUGAAAGAUGAUAGAAGAUGGAGAAAUAGAUAAGAGUCAGAAUAUAAAAAGGUGAGGGCAGGUGGAGCACUUUUUCCAAAUGAGAGGAAAGGAACUGUCAAUGACUGCAGCACGUUAGUCAAUGACUCAGCAGGUUGACGUAGUCAUGUGACACCCCUCUGCCUAGCAACCUGUUUGUUUGGGUGUUCUCAGAGCUAGAACAGCUGAAACAGCUUGGAUCGCCUAGGUGAUCCUUGUUCUGAGGAUGGCCUUGUUCCAGCACUGCAUGUGUGAUUGAUCUUCAGCUUCAGUUACUCCCCACAGAGAGCCAUCUUGCAGAGGGACCAACUGAGCUCAGAAUUCAGAACUGCUGAGGCCAUCUAGCAGCUCCUAAGUUCAAAUCCACAGAAAAUGUGCUGACUGCUGCAGGCUGCAGGUCUGGUCCCAGGCUCACGGGCAGAGUCCAGCAGAAGGUGCAGCUCCCUGAGAAUAUUCAUUACCCACCAUAAAGCUACUGCUGACUUGCUGGGAUAAAUCAACAUGGAUUGGGAGUUUCUCCACACAGUGUCUACUAGUGACAGCAGAGACAAACUUUGAAGUGGGCAUUAUUUUCUUUCUUUUUUCCUUCAUUGUUUGAUCUUUUUUUAUGAGUAUGAAAGUGAUUUCUAGGUUUUUUUUUUUUUUUUUGUGGUUGUUGUUCCAUUCUGUUCUUCCUUCCUUUUAUGUCUUUCUUUCUUUUUUUUUUUUUUUUUUGUACUGGGGAUUAAAUCCACAACCUCAGGCUUGCUAAGCAGGCAUUUGUGCUACAAAGCUAAAUCCACGGCUCUUUCUUUUAUUUCUUCCUUCUGUCCCCUCCUGUCUUCUGCACAAGUUUCCCAAAGUUUGCACGAUUCUCCUUUGUUCUCCAGCCUUGCUUCUAAUUUCUUCCCCUUCUAUUUCUCUUCUUUCCUCCUAACCCCUUUUAAAUUUUUCUCCCCUGAGGGUAAAACUGGCACACUGAGGGCUAUUUGCUGCAUACAAUUUUCUGGUUUGUUUUAAAUUUUGUUAUACAAUCACAAAUCUAGUUCACAUGGUUAAAGGUGGCACAUUAAUGGGUAUUUUAAUUUUUCAUUUUUAGGCUGUGUUUGAUUCUCUUGUUAUUGUUGAUUAUACCAUGUUAGCCAAAUUGAUACCACUGUUCUAACCAGCUGUUAUUCCUGGUAUCCCAAGACUGAGAUUGCCUAAGGGUCAUAGAAAAUACUGUGGGCCAGUGCCAAGGAACCAGGGGCUGGUCCAAGUGGGCAGCAACUUCUCAACCCCAACAAAUUGAAGAGGUGGGAUCUUGCAACAGAUUCAAAAACUAGUUACAUCCGGAAUACCUCUGAGUAGUUAUUUCCUAAGGGUUCUAAAUACUAGCAAUAAAGCAGCUCACCACAGUCACUUUAUAAGUGUCAACCCAGGAAUUAAACAAAACAAAACAAAAAAAAAAAAAAAGAAAAGAAAGAAAAUGGGAAUACAUUUAAACAAAAUGCAACCCCAGACAAAAGCAAAACCAGGGAGCAAUGAGGCA